AGAAAAAAAAAAUCAUGAAUAGAUAAUUUGCAAACAAUUUCUGACCUUACUUAUUUCAUGUACAUAAAUUUUUCUACAUGAAACCGGCUAAAAAAUUCAAGGACCACAUGACAUCAAUCAAUAGCUUAAAUUUGAAAAAAAAAUAAAAUAGUUACUAAUUCUAACAAGAAAAUAGAUAGUGAGGUACUUCAUUUUAGAUAUUGUCCCAUUUUAUUAUAUUAUCAUUAUACUGUUUUGGCCCAAAAUAAUCAAUCAAUCAUUAUCAUAAGUUGAGUUUUAUUUAAUCUCAAUAUAUUGUGGCCCUUCUAGUGACGCCAAAGAUAAGAUGAUAUCAAUGAGAUAUUAAGGUACAUGGAUGAUGAUAUUCCAAAGGGGUUAUGUGGAUGGAGUUGGAAGGAGAAUAAAUUGUUUGAGUUGGCUUUAGCUUUGGUAGAUGAGAGGCAUCCGGAACGGUGGGAGAUGGUUGCGGCAAUUGUUGGAGGAAAAAAGAGUGCAGACGAAGUUCGGGAACAUUAUGUGAUACUUUUGGAGGAUUUGGAGCUUAUAGAAUCUGGAAAAUUUGAUCAUAAAUUUGGAGAAGAUCAUACUUGUGUUAUUGUUGACCUUACUAAGUCCUUGUGCUUGUCUGAUAAUAAUAUUGAUUGAUAUAGCUUCAUGUAAGUUCUUACUUUUUAUGUAACAAAAUUAAAAUAAUUUUAUCUUUAUUCUCUCAUA